UUCAUCCAUUUUAAGCAACCAUGCAGUAUACAAGCACGCUGCCAACACGUUUUUUGCUAGAUGGCCUUCUCAUUUUGCCUUUGUUUCUGGCCCUGUGCUAUGACAUUUCUACCUGCUCUACAAUGGGCAGUCUGUUAUAACAAACUGUGCCUCCCCUGUUUUAAGACUCUUAAUUUGAAAUAUGGUCUGUGACUUGUAUUUGGGUCCUCGUCUGCUAUUCCUCACAGUAUACCAUAUAUAUCUAUACACUAGAUGUCGCCUUGAGGUCCUAGAAAUGCGGUUUCUUUAUACGGUGCUCUUGUACUUUAAAUGCAUGGACGAUGCCGGACUUCUGUGCUGCGUUUGGUUGUUCAUACGAAAGAAAUCUAAAAACCAGACAGCAAGGGAUUACAAUACACAAUGAUGCCUCGAGAUACGAGUGCUUUGAGAUACGAGCUGUGAUUCGACCAAAUUUUUGUCUUCAUAUACAAGCAGAUUUUUGAGAUCCGAGCUGCCGCCGAAACAAAGAUCACCAACAACCACGUGUCCUCUGUUUCCCGCGUCUCACUCGGUUAAAGCCGCCUUUCCAUUGCACAUGACAAACGACUGUCGAUAAAACGGAAGUCAUUCAUUUCCUAUGGAGAGUCGCAAAGGCGUUGUGUGAGGUGCCGACCAUCUGCGGAUCCGUUAAAAAAAUUUAACUUGUGCGACUACACCGCAUCUGAUAUGCCGACCGGAAAGGUUUUUAUUAAAACGACCGGCAGAUAUUAGUGAGGAAAGAGUGAAAAAGUUUUGUGAAAAAUUUCAACUUUUCUGUAUGGUUAAUAUGUAUAAAGUAAUGUGAAGAAGAGUACCAAUUGUUUUGAGAAUGGGAAUUUGUUUCCCAGUACUUAGACAGCUCUCCAUAGAAGGUACUGAUUUUUGUUAUAAAAAAAAUUGCAAACAGAGUUGUAAAAAAUCUUCUUUCACAUGUAUUUUACCCAAAUACUAUUAAAAGAGGAUAUGUGUUGAAAGAUUUUGAGACGUUAGAAGUUAAAAUUAGGACCAUGCAUCUAUUUUCUCCUCUUCCUCCGACGGCUAAGGAAGUUAACUUUAAAAUUUUAAAUGAGAUUUAUCCCACAAAUGAGUUUUUAAGAUUAAAAUUCAAUUUUGAACUGAAUAAUUGUGUAUUUUGUGAAACUAAUAUUGAAAGUUUAGACCAUACUUUCUCUCUUUGGGAAUUGGUGCAAACCUUUUCAAGAGAUGUAUGGAACUGGUUACAAUCUACAGAGAUUAUACUUCCACCCCUUACAGUGCAGCUAAUCAAGUUUUUUUUUUUUUUGAAGAACAAAUAUUUAAAUUUUGUUAUUAACUCUUUGAUUUGUAUGGCAAAGAUUUUCAUCCAUAAAUGUAGGUGGUUUAAAUCAAAGCACAACUUCAAUCAGUGGUUAAAUAAGUUAAAAUAAAUGUAAAAAUCCCUUAUUUGAUUUCACACUUUGAGUAAUACAAGUUAAUUUGAAUAAGCCUCCCUUUGUUACUUUUUUCUUUAUUUUUUUCUCGAUUUGUCUUUAAUUAUUGGUAUGCCCAACCAAAGAUGUACAUUUGUUUAUAUUUUGAAAUAAGACUGUAUGCCUAUAUUGUUUGCACAUUUGAUACAGGAUAUAAAACUAAAAAAACACUCUAACAUAGUGUAUCGCAAAGUUGAUCUCCAUUUGACUUCUCCAGGCUGCUGCAGCUCUGGAACAGACGUCUCAAAAUAGACAGAUAGCCUUUCAGUCACUUUACUGAGGUUUGCGAAAACAUUAUUAUUGUUGCUCAUUGUUAAGGCCACAAACUCACUUAACCUGUCUAAAAUUACAUGGCUUUUCAGAGGUGAUCAGUAGACAAGGAACGGUUUUCGGACUGUUGUGCAGUCAUAAUGUCCUCAACAACUUCACCAAUCACAUCCAUCAUAAACAUAAACAGAGUCGAAUUUCACAUGUGUUCUCUCCUGUUUGCUGACCGCGAGGCGCUUGUGGAUGACGUAGCUUCCACAUACAGCGCCCCAUAAUAUAAUUCCACCCCAACAUUGAUUGACACGUUUACGUGCAUCGUUUGAAACGCAAAUGCAAAGGGAUUUGAGAUUAUAGUUGAGUUUCUGCAGGAUCCGUAUGUGACCCCAGAGGAUGUGAAAUAGCAAAGGGGGGGGGGGGGGGGAUUUGUGAUUAAAAUAUGGCAGGGUCAUAACUCGAAAUACAUAGGAGAUUCAGCUGCAGAUGGACUUUGCUUUUCCAUUUUAAAUUUGGCAUAGAUUGUGCGUUCGCGUAAAUGCAAACGGUUUGCGUUUGAAAUUAUUUCACGUUACUUGUUUCAACGAAAAGCUGAAAACGCAAUUGCUCCACAGCUGUCUGUUUGCUCACUUACAUAUUGGGUGAUCUGUCACCAAAGAUGCCUUGUUCUAACUCA